AGCAACGCAGCUUGUUGGUGGAGCUACUGAGCAAAGCCUCUUACCUUCUCUGCUUCUUCAAGGCCCAGUGCUUUAUCUGUCAAAUUUGGAGAAGAUCUCUGCCUUGUAGGCUUUAAAUGUUUACUUAGUAGCUCUCAACUUCCUUUCUCUCUUGGCUCAAAUUUUGAAUGUUGGGGCAGGAAACUACUACUGAAUAUCAUUUACUUGAGAUUUCCCUUGUGGCCCAUUAGAAGGAGUGUGUGUGUGUGUGUGUGUGUGCAUGAGAGAGACACAGAGAGAACACACCAAAGGCCACUGUGGGUGAGGGUGGGGUGUUUGGAUGAACACCAGUCUGGAAGAAUCAGGACCCCUGGACUUCUAGGCCUGACCCCACUGCUCCCUGGUCAUGUGGCUUUGGGGAAGCCACUCUAACCUUUCUAGGCCUCAUUUUCUCCAUGUCUAAAAUGAAUACCAUAAAUAAGAAGUAAUUUCUAGUGUAUUAUGCUACUCAAACUUCUGUUCUCAUUUGUUUUUGUGUGUACCUUCUGCAUGCCAGGAACUAAUUCACAGCAUGAAACAAGCCCCUGCAGUCCCAACUCUUAGCAGCCCGUUCCCCCUGGGAGAGGUCAGGUCACACCCAGAUAGACAGCUCUACAACGGAAGGUAGAGGUGAUGAGCAGCAUGCAGGCAAUACGGCAAUACAGCGAGGCAGGGGCGUGGAGAGCGAUGGGCAGGCGCUGUUUGAGCAGGGAGCUUAAGCACUUGAGGCAGUGAGUCCAGAGUGUGGCCUGAGCACGGAGGGGCAGGAAGUGGG
rnacentral:lncRNA from 10 species